AGGCCGAUCGGAGACGGUCGCUGGUCGAUUCGUCGGCCAGAGGAAAGUCCGGACUCCACAAGGCAGCAUGCCAUGUGAAAACAUGGGAACGUUUCCGCGAAAGCGGGGCGUGACGGAAAGUGUCGCAGAAAACAAACCGCCCUCUCCACCCGCCUCGGCGGGAGGGGAAUCGGCAAGGGUGAAACGGCGAGGUAAGAGCUCACCGCCCCGAGGGUAACCGAGGGGGCAAGAAAAACCCCACGCGGUGCAAGACAGAACAGGGCAAACUCCGGGCCGCCUGUCCGGGCCCGCUUCGGCGGGAUAAGCCCGGGUAAUCGUCGCACCCCGCGAAAGCGGGGAGUUCCGGUCUCGGCCGGGGCUAGAAAAAUGAUCGUCCAACCCGCUCCGGCGGGGGGAACAGAAUUCGGCUUAUGAGAUCGGCCUUCGC
rnacentral:RNase_P_RNA from 1 species